AGCAGUAGCCGCGGGAAUACGAAGGGGGCUAGCGUUGUUCGGAUUUACUGGGCGUAAAGCGCACGUAGGCGGACUUUUAAGUCAGGGGUGAAAUCCCGGGGCUCAACCCCGGAACUGCCUUUGAUACUGGAAGUCUUGAGUAUGGUAGAGGUGAGUGGAAUUCCGAGUGUAGAGGUGAAAUUCGUAGAUAUUCGGAGGAACACCAGUGGCGAAGGCGGCUCACUGGACCAUUACUGACGCUGAGGUGCGAAAGCGUGGGGAGCAAACAGGAUUAGAUACCCCGGUAGUCCCUGUCUCUUAUAC
rnacentral:rRNA from 1 species